GCUCUCAGCUGAUUCUCAAACU
rnacentral:misc_RNA from 1 species